rnacentral:misc_RNA from 1 species
AGAAGAUCCAACGCUCUCUAGCAGGUAUGGUGUAGCAUAUGUUAAAGGUCUGCAGCAGCGCGAUGAUGGUAAAAAAGAUAUGCUUAAGGUUGCUUCUUGCUGUAAGCAUUAUACAGCUUAUGAUGUUGAUGAUUGGAAGGGAAUCCAACGUUACAAUUUCAAUGCUAAGGUAACUCAACAAGAUUUAGAUGACACGUUUAACCCCCCAUUCAAGAGUUGUGUUCUUGAUGGAAAUGUAGCCAGUGUGAUGU